GUUUGGUCAUCGUCAGUUGGUGCCAGUACCUCCCCCACGAGACGCUGGUCAGGCGCACGAGAGGAGUGCCCAAGGAAACGCAAGCACCCACGACUGGGCGGAGAUUAAUGCAGAACACAUAACCCGGUGGAUGGAGUCUGGUGCAGUGGAUGUCGUCGUUCCUGCGGGACAGUACGACGAUAGCUCGUACUGGGAGUACCUUGCGUGGUAUCAAUCACGAACGCGUCCCACCUUACUCAGCGGCAGCGUACCGCCAGCCCCUAGACCCUUCCCCGAAGAUCGUGCCCGGCUUCUACAUGUGGUGACCGAAGCGGGGAUCGAAAUGCAUAGGCAUGCGGAGCAUGACCGUUGGGAAGCGAGUGGGUCAGCCACGCGAAGGGAUAGGCACCCUCUCCGAGACUACAUGAGGACGAGAGGGUCUCGCCUUUGGUCCGCGAUACGUGGACUAGGUGGUUGCGCCCCGCGUUAUAGGGCAUACGACGUACCCGCCAUGGACC